AGUUCCCCUAGUGACCAUCCGGGGCAAGGAGAAUUUAGUUGGCCUACAUACACUAUUCCUGAACUGAGCUACAAAGAACUUUCAUUAAGCUUGGCUGUUGGUAGAGCCAAGAGAGCUAGACAGUGCCAUCUACUCAACAGUUAUAUCCCGCAGCUUGCUCGGGUUAUAGGUGAGGUAGAUCCAAGUGUUCGAAAAUGGAAGGAUAUUUUCGAUGCGUGGCAGAGAGACAUGACAGAAUGGAGAAAGCAGUUUCAAGAUUAUAAAUCGAAAACAGACUGUUAGGAAAUUCGGAGGAGGAUCCAGAAUCUCUUCCUAGGGGGCGGAAACAAUUUCUGACAAACAAGAAUCCCCCCCCCCCCAAAAAA